UACGUAGGGUGCAAGCGUUAAUCGGAAUACUGGGCGUAAAGCGUGCGCAGGCGGUGAUGUAAGACAGGUGUGAAAUCCCCGGGCUUAACCUGGGAACUGCAUUUGUGACUGCAUCGCUGGAGUGCGGCAGAGGGGGAUGGAAUUCCGCGUGUAGCAGUGAAAUGCGUAGAUAUGCGGAGGAACACCGAUGGCGAAGGCAA
rnacentral:rRNA from 1 species